rnacentral:rRNA from 1 species
GACGAACGCUGGCGGCGUGCUUAACACAUGCAAGUCGAACGGUAAGGCCCUUCGGGGUACACGAGUGGCGAACGGGUGAGUAACACGUGGGUGAUCUGCCCUGCACUUCGGGAUAAGCCUGGGAAACUGGGUCUAAUACCGGAUAGGACCACUGCCUGCAUGGGUGGUGGUGGAAAGCUUUUGCGGUGUGGGAUGGGCCCGCGGCCUAUCAGCUUGUUGGUGGGGUGAUGGCCUACUAAGGCGACGACGGGUAGCCGGCCUGAGAGGGUGACCGGCCACACUGGGACUGAGAUACGGCCCAGACCCCUACGGGAGGCAGCAGUGGGGAAUAUUGCACAAUGGGCGCAAGCCUGAUGCAGCGACGCCGCGUGAGGGAUGACGGCCUUCGGGUUGUAAACCUCUUUCAGCACCGACGAAGCGCAAGUGACGGUAGGUGCAGAAGAAGGACCGGCCAACUACGUGCCAGCCGCCGCGGUAA